GCCAGGAUGAAGAGAAGCUGCGAGCCAGUAUGGAACCCAGUACCCCUAGAGCCCCCCGAGUGGAUAUCCGCGUGGAAAGGAUGUUGGCAGCCCGGGUGACCUCGGAGUCACGGCUGGAUCCACCCUCCCGAUGGCCUCAAACUUACUGUGUAAUCAAGGACAACAAUGACGUUCUUCCUCUUCUUCCUAAGUGCUGAAAUUAUAGGCCUGAUUUUCUUAACUCCACCAUGGUAAGAAGAUGCCCUCCAGCAGGUUGUGCUUGCAGACUACGUGGAGCCUCUCCCGAGAUUUUCUGAACCCUGUGGAUUUACAGGAAGACACAGUUUCCUGGGGAGUAAUUCUAAUGGAUGCAAAUUCUGGAGUAAUACACCUGACUUGCCUGGAGACAAGUAACCGAAUGGAUUCUUCUUGCCUGGAUGCCCACUGGGAACAAGGACCAUAGCUGAGAGGACUGUAUCUCUACCUUUGACUCAAUGGGAACAUUUGCUCAGAUCUCUCGGGCUACCUGGAGCUCCCUCUAAAAAUGUA